CAUGCAGUCGAACGAAGUAGCAAUACUUAGUGGCAGACGGGUGAGUAACAUGUGGGUAUCUACCCUAUGGCCUGGAAUAACACGAGGAAACUUGUGCUAAUACUGGAUAAGUCUUUACGGAGAAAGCUUUAUGCACCAUUGGAUGAGCCCGCACUUGAUUAGUUUGUUGGUAGGGUAACGGCCUACCAAGACUUUGAUCAAUAGCUGAUUUGAGAGGAUGAUCAGCCACAUUGGGACUGAGACACGGCCCAAACUCCUACGGGAGGCAGCAGUGGGGAAUCUUGCACAAUGGAGGAAACUCUGAUGCAGCGAUGCCGCGUGAGUGAAGAAGGCCCUUGGGUUGUAAAGCUCUUUCGUCGGGGAAGAAAAUGACUGUACCCGAAUAAGAAGGUCCGGCUAACUUCGUGCCAGCAGCCGCGGUAAUACGAAGGGACCUAGCGUAGUUCGGAAUUACUGGGCUUAAAGAGUUCGUAGGUGGUUGAAAAAGUUGGUGGUGAAAUCCCAGAGCUUAACUCUGGAACUGCCAUCAAAACCUUUCAGCUAGAGUUUGAUAGAGGAAAGCAGAAUUUCUAGUGUAGAGGUGAAAUUCGUAGAUAUUAGAAAGAAUACCAAUUGCGAAGGCAGCUUUCUGGAUCAUUACUGACACUGAGGAACGAAAGCAUGGGUAGCGAAGAGGAUUAGAUACCCUCGUAGUCCAUGCCGUAAACGAUGUGUGUUAGACGUUGGAAAUUUAUUUUCAGUGUCGCAGCGAAAGCGAUAAACACACCGCCUGGGGAGUACGACCGCAAGGUUAAAACUCAAAUGAAUUGACGGGGACCCGCACAAGUAGUGGAGCAUGUGGUUUAAUUCGAANAUACGCGCAGAACCNUACCAACACUUGACAUGUUCGUCGCGACUUUNAGA
rnacentral:rRNA from 1 species